rnacentral:rRNA from 1 species
CGGAGGAUCCAAGCGUUAUCCGGAAUCAUUGGGGUUUAAAGGGUCCGUAGGCGGUUUGAUAAGUCAGUGGUGAAAGCCCAUCGCUCAACGAUGGAACGGCCAUUGAUACUGUCAGACUUGAAUUAUUGGGAAGUAACUAGAAUAUGUAGUGUAGCGGUGAAAUGCUUAGAUAUUACAUGGAAUACCAAUUGCGAAGGCAGGUUACUAUCAAUAUAUUGACGCUGAUGGACGAAAGCGUGGGGAGCGAACAGGAUUAGAUACCCUGGUAGUCCACGCCGUAAACGAUGGAUACUAGCUGUUCGGAGCAAUCUGAGUGGCUAAGCGAAAGUGAUAAGUAUCCCACCUGGGGAGUACGUUCGCAAGAAUG